CGAGUGAUCCGGUGAAUUAUUCGGACCAAGAAACGUGGAUUCGUCCUUCGUUUUUUGGAAAGUUUUGUGAACCUUAUCACUUAAAGGAAGGAGAAGUCGUAACAAGGUUUCCGUAGGUGAACCUGCGGAAGGAUCAUUC
rnacentral:rRNA from 1 species